rnacentral:misc_RNA from 1 species
GAUGAAGAACGUAGCGAAAUGCGAUAAGUAAUGUGAAUUGCAGAAUUCAGUGAAUCAUCGAAUCUUUGAAGGCACAUUGCGCCCCCUGGUAUUCCGGGGGGCAUGCCUGUUCGAGCGUCAUUUCACCACUCAAGCCUCGCUUGGUAUUGGGCAACGCGGUCCGCCGCGUGCCUCAAAUCGUCCGGCUGGGUCUUCUGUCCCCUAAGCGUUGUGGAAACUAUUCGCUAAAGGGUGUUCGGGAGGCUACGCCGUAAAACAACCCCAUUUCUAAGGUUGACCUCGGAUCAGGUAGGGAUACCCGCUGAACUUAAGCAUAUCAAUAAGCGGAGGA